rnacentral:lncRNA from 1 species
ACUUGAUCUUGGUUUAAAAGAUCUUUAAUUCGGAUCUUCAACGUAGCUUAAAGCUCCAGAAAUUGUAGUUAAAACUCUGGAAAACUAGAACUGGGACUAAAUUACAUUUUGCAUCCGAUUUUGUAGGGAUUUGUCUUAUAAUUGCAUUGUCGCAAAUGACAAAAUUAUCUGAUAUUAACUAAGAAUAUGGUAGAGGUGUUGCCUCAUAAUUAACGAUAAGAAAAUCAUUCCUAAGAGACUUGUACAACAAUUAAGGUACGAUAUAUAAGGUAACACAUGGUUGUCAAAAGGUCAACAGGUACAUCAGUUUAUACGACUUAGAUCAAUAUUUAAAUACGCUAUGAACUUAAUAAACAUCCUGUGGUGAAGAGUCAUACACGCCAUAACCUAACCCAAGGUUACACAACUUUGACCUUAAGUGAACGUGAACGAAUCAUAUGACUAACCUUUUUUAUCUUGCCUUUGAGAAUAACGCAGGCUUGUAUAUCGCACAAAAUACAUGCNCAAACCUUUGUUAAUAAUUAUUGAGUAAUUGUCGUAAUAAAAACAUUAAAAAAAAUUAUAAAAAAAUAUAUGUUGGAAUUUCUGUCCCUUAACAUGUUUCCCUCCUUGGAUUCUUGCCUCCUGGCCAGUUAAAGAAAACAAACUAAAACGUUUUAAGGAGCAUGUUAGUGGCUUUCAUGAAUGCGAUACAUGUAACAUCAAUGUGCGUAUUCUAAACUAUGGUUCCAUAAUGAUCAUGAUAAUGGUGAUUUAAAACAGAAUUUCCUAAAACAAUUUAAGUUGGGUGUACCUGUUGAAUUGGCCUUUUUUAAAAAAACGAAAAGAAAAAUACGAGUAAAUCUAAAUUCCGGUUAUAGAAUUCCAAGUAAUUUAAAAGAAAAUCAACCUGUUUUUUUUUUUUGGUGGAUUAAAAACAUUAUAGAAAUUUGGGCUAGUGCAGUAGCCACCGGAGGGAUUUUUUAAACUAGAAAAGUCACGAUAACAUGUCUUGACCUAUAAAAAGGCAUCUGGUUGUUCUGACAAUGUUUUUGAUGUGCAUGUUCUGUAAAAACAGUCAGAAAAUGUGUAAGUGUUCAUACUGUCCUUAAUCUUGUUUUGGAAAUCCUGUGGUCUUGUGGGUUUCCUGUGGGUGGUUGUGGUUUGGCGUUUGCCAUUUUGGUUGUUCUGUUAAAAUCCAGGUCAUCCGGACAAAAGUAGUAGGCAAAGGGUCGUGUAGAAUCAUCAGUACAGUCGAGUCAGGUCGGAUAUUAAUGUUAGGUCGGUUUUUGUUGGAGUGGGAAUAAUUUGCAGUUCAUUCGUGAGCACCUGGGCGAUCAACGUGGAGAGCUGUCAACAUCGGUGGUUGUCAAUGGCUUAUUACAUCGUGAACAACAUUCCAUUUCGAGGCUUCCGUCGCCUUUAUGAUAUCGUACAAUGUUGUUUUAGGUAUCACAUGAUUUAAAACACAGUAUGCGACGUAUGAAACAUACGAGGAGAGCCAAGAGAGCUAUAUUGACAAUGGCGAAGGUGAGUGCUGCCCAUGCGAUGAUUUGCAUCGCAGAAGUGACUGAUGUUUCUUGAAUUGUAUUGAUAUUCCACUGUGGGAAUGCCUGGAAUCUUAACUUUGCCUUCAAUGGCACAUUUGCCAUUUUUUUCCCACUGUUUUUCCAGCAAAUGUAAUUACUGUUGCAAUUUGCUGCAAAAGUUUUUCCACUGUAGGAAUGCCUGCAAUUUUAACUUUUCCUUCAAUGGGACAUUUGCCCCCUGGAGAGUGAUCUGAAAAACGAGGGUAUAAUACAAGAGUAAGUACAAGACAGUACUAAAAUCAGAGGUGAGUAAAAGAUGCUAAUAUUAUUGUCCUUAAUUGUUUGAAUUUUCCUGUUCAAGGGUCCAAGGGUCUGUUGAAGCAGAGGUGUGGACCAACUUUGAAAGAGCGGUAGUGAAGGUCUAACGUAGUGCGAUUGGAUGGGACUGUCCAUGGGAUGUAGCGUAUGACCUUGCUACUGAAGAUUUGAAUAGACAUUGUUAAUGUUCAUGGACAUUGUCCAAAACCAGUAGACAGAAAGAAUCGUCCACCAAGAUGAAGUAAUGGUUGGAAAUCAUCACAUUUAACUGAUAAAUGGUUUCUUGUGAAAUUAUAAGUUGACCCUGGAGUCCGAUUAAUACCAAGCCACGUAAUAUCUUUAGUAUGCUGUAGUAUGGUCUCGGGGCAGAGGCAAGUGCCUUCUAGACUAUAACAUUGUGUUAGUACAUCAGGUCUUAGUACAAGCUUUUGUUUGGGGCAAGUUAUUAAAACUAAAUCGUUAUAUGAAAGAGGACAAGUGUAACAUUUGCGUUUUUGUUGAUAUUUGAUUGGUACAAGUGAUUCCAGAGUAGAAAGAGAAUUUUCGAUUUAAUUAUUGGAACAGAAGUUAAGGUAUGAAGCGAAAUAUGUUUAUCACGAUGUUCCUAUUUAGUUUAUGGUUUUAUAAACAACGGAAAUCCGUCUUCUAAAAUUGCUGAUGAAAAAGAAAGUUCAUUUUGUACCUUGAAAUUUGCAGAAAUAAAAGAUUGUGGUAAA